GAUCCUGGCUCAGGAUGAACGUUGGCGGCGUGCCUAACACAUGCAAGUCGAACGAGGUAUUUUGAUUGAAGUUUUCGGAUGGAUUUCAAGACACCGAGUGGCGGACGGGUGAGUAACGCGUGGGUAACCUGCCUCAUACAGGGGGAUAACGGUUAGAAAUGACUGCUAAUACCGCAUAAGCGCACAGUACCGCAUGGUACGGUGUGAAAAACUCCGGUGGUAUGGAGAUCGGACCCGCGUCUGAUUAG
rnacentral:rRNA from 1 species